GUUUGUUUUGACAAGUGCCUAGGAUAGUAAAAGUUCAUUGUGUGACAGGAUAUUGUGAGAUGACAUGCGCAGUGUAGGCCAAACGUUAGUGCAGAAUCUAGUAAUGUGUCUUUGGGAACAGGCGCUGAUCCUUUGGACUGAGACCUCCAUCUUGAAUUUAGGAAUUUCAAUAAAAUGUUUCAUGUGCUUGGAUAAUUUAUCUAUCUCAUGGCCUUGAAACAGCACCGACCUACAUAACAGCAUCCCAUUAACGACGAGGUGCUCAUAUUUCAUGUGUCUGGAUAACUUAUCUUUAUUACUGCCAUGAAACAACGCUGAUUUACAUAACAGCAUCACAUUGAUGACGAGGGUUGAGGGUGAUUUGGAUACCGGAACUUUCACCGGAAGUUGGGGAGAACAUUUAUGUGAUGCUGUCGACAGCUACUUUACACGCCAUCAUCGAGUGCACCCCUCAUCAAGUCCACCCAUAAUCGAGUGGACCCAUCAUCGAGUGGACCCAGCAAGUGGACCCAUCAUCAAGUCGACCGAUCAUCGAGCGGGCCCAUCAUCAAGUGGACCCUUCAUAUAGUCUACCCAUCAUCAAGUGGACCCAUCAUCGAGUGGACCCAGCAAGUUGACACAUCAUCAAUUCGACCGAUCAUCAAGUGGACCCAUCAUCAAGUGGACCCUUCAUAUAGUGGACCCAUCAUCGAGUGGACCCAUCAUCAAGUGGACCCAUCAUCUGUUUGACCCAUCAUCGAGUGGACCCAUCAUCAAGUGGACCCAUCAUCGAGUGGACCCAUCGAGUGGACCCAUCAUGGGCAGAUCUCCUGCAAGAGUACUCGGCUUAAGGACUUUAAGAUUGUGCCACCUUUAUUUGACAAAGCGUCUACAGGACCAGUACAAGAAAGCAAAUGUCUCUAUCACCCUUCUGGACCAUUGAAAAAAAGCAGUUGUUUCUAUAUAUAUUCAAUAAUGCAAACAUCAUUUUUUUUUUAAAUCAGUUUCAGAACCUUAGGUCACUAGGAAGACACUGAUUAAAAGUAUCUUAUUUUUAUUUGACUAGCUUC